rnacentral:rRNA from 1 species
GAAAUUUAACCUGCCCGCUGAGUUUACAUUGAAGGGCCGCAGUAUUUUGACUGUGCAAAGGUAGCAUAAUCAUUAGUCUUUUAAUUGAAGACUGGUAUGAAUGGUUGGAUGAGGUAAUUUCUAUUUUAUAUUAAUUGUAAUUGAAUUUAGGUUUUAAGUAAAAAUACUUAAGUAUAAUUAAGGGACGAGAAGACCCUAUAGAGUUUAAUAUAUGUAAUGAUUAAUUGAGUUGUAAAGAAUUUUUUGGUUAUUAUGAAAUUUAUUUAAUUGGGGUGAUUGGAAAAUAAUUUGAACUUUUCUUUAAUUUUAAUACUAUAAUUAAUUAUAUGAUCCAUUAUUAGUGAUUUUAAGAUUAAAUUACCUUAGGGAUAACAGCAUAAUUUUUUUUAAGAGUUCAUAUUGAAAAGGAAAAUUGUGACCUCGAUGUUGGAUUAAGAUAAGUUUUGGGUGUAGAAGUUCAAUAAACUAGGUCUGUUCGACCUUUAAAUUCUUACAUGAUCUG